GGCCAGUUAGCUCAGUGGUUUGAGCGUGGUGCUGACCACAAGGACCAACACCGAAGUCGCAGGUUCGAUUCCCGCUCGGUCCC
rfam:Apaloderma vittatum contig74527, whole genome shotgun sequence.